UACAGGGGGUGCAAACGUUGCUCGGAAUCAUUGGGCGUAAAGCGCGCGUAGGUGGUCGUUUAAGUUGGAUGUGAAAGCCCUCGGCUCAACUGAGGAAGUGCAUCCAAAACUGAUCGGCUAGAGUACGAAAGAGGGUCGCGGAAUUCCCGGUGUAGAGGUGAAAUUCGUAGAUAUCGGGAGGAACACCAGUGGCGAAGGCGGCGACCUGGUGCGAUACUGACGCUGAGGUGCGAAAGCGUGGGGAGCAAACAGG
rnacentral:rRNA from 1 species